CAUCAAAGACAUUAGAACUAGAAACAAAUGCCAGGGAUGUCUUCAGCAGCCCUGCACAGAAAGGCAAACCUCAGCCUCCGUGACAAUGGGCAACAAAGAUGCCCACCUAGUGUGAAUGGAAUCCUGCUCAGAAAACAACUGAAGAGCAGAGACUGGGCAGUAUAAGCAGGGACAGUCACUGUGAUCUCUUUGUCAGGGUCCUGAAACACUCAGCUUCCUCUUUCGAGUAGUGAUGAAAUUUAAA